rnacentral:tRNA from 1 species
ACUUGGCUGGCUCAGUUGGUGGAGCAUGUGGCUGUUGAUCUCAGGGUUGUGAGUUUGAGCCCCAUGUUGGGUG